rnacentral:rRNA from 1 species
GGGUGAACGCUGGCGGCGUGCUUGACACAUGCAAGUCGAACGGUAUGUGGCAACACAUAGAGUGGCGAACGGGUGAGUAACACGUGGGAACGUACCAUCUGCAGGGGGAUAACUGACCGAAAGGACAGCUAAUACCGCAUAAGUCCGGAAGGAGAAAGGUGCAAUAGCAUCGGCAGAAGAGCGGCCCGCGGCUGAUUAGCUUGUUGGUGAGGUAAUGGCCUACCAAGGCGACGAUCAGUAGCCGGCCUGAGAGGGUGAACGGCCACACUGGAACUGAGACACGGUCCAGACUCCUACGGGAGGCAGCAGUGGGGAAUAUUGCACAAUGGGCGAAAGCCUGAUGCAGCGACGCCGCGUGAGGGAUGACGGCCUUCGGGUUGUAAACCUCUUUCAGCAGGGAAGAAGCGAAAGUGACGGUACCUGCAGAAGAAGCACCGGCUAACUACGUGCCAGCAGCCGCGGUAAUACGUAGGGUGCGAGCGUUGUCCGGAAUUAUUGGGCGUAAAGAGCUUGUAGGCGGUUUGUCGCGUCUGCAGUGAAAAUCCGAGGCUCAACCUCGGACUUGCUGUGGGUACGGGCAGACUAGAGUAUGGUAGGGGAGACCGGAAUUCCUGGUGUAGCGGUGGAAUGCGCAGAUAUCAGGAGGAACACCGAUGGCGAAGGCAGGUCUCUGGGCCAUAACUGACGCUGAGAAGCGAAAGCAUGGGGAGCGAACAGGAUUAGAUACCCUGGUAGUCCAUGCCGUAAACGUUGGGCGCUAGGUGUGGGGCUCAUUCCACGAGCUCCGUGCCGCAGCUAACGCAUUAAGCGCCCCGCCUGGGGAGUACGGCCGCAAGGCUAAAACUCAAAGGAAUUGACGGGGGCCCGCACAAGCGGCGGAGCAUGCGGAUUAAUUCGAUGCAACGCGAAGAACCUUACCAAGGCUUGACAUAUACCGGAAACAUCCAGAGAUGGGUGCCCCGCAAGGUCGGUAUACAGGUGGUGCAUGGUUGUCGUCAGCUCGUGUCGUGAGAUGUUGGGUUAAGUCCCGCAACGAGCGCAACCCUCGUUCUAUGUUGCCAGCGCGUAAUGGCGGGGACUCAUAGGAGACUGCCGGGGUCAACUCGGAGGAAGGUGGGGAUGACGUCAAAUCAUCAUGCCCCUUAUGUCUUGGGCUUCACGCAUGCUACAAUGGCCGGUACAAAGGGCUGCGAUACCGCGAGGUGGAGCGAAUCCCAAAAAACCGGUCUCAGUUCGGAUUGGGGUCUGCAACUCGACCCCAUGAAGUCGGAGUCGCUAGUAAUCGCAGAUCAGCAACGCUGCGGUGAAUACGUUCCCGGGCCU